AGUGAACGCUGGCGGUAGGCCUAACACAUGCGAGUCGAACGGCAGCACAGAGGAGCUUGCUCCUUGGGUGGCGAGUGGCGGACGGGUGAGGAAUACAUCGGAAUCUACUCUGUCGUGGGGGAUAACGUAGGGAAACUUACGCUAAUACCGCAUACGACCUACGGGUGAAAGCAGGGGACCUUCGGGCCUUGCGCGAUUGAAUGAGCCGAUGUCGGAUUAGCUAGUUGGCGGGGUAAAGGCCCACCAAGGCGACGAUCCGUAGCUGGUCUGAGAGGAUGAUCAGCCACACUGGAACUGAGACACGGUCCAGACUCCUACGGGAGGCAGCAGUGGGGAAUAUUGGACAAUGGGCGCAAGCCUGAUCCAGCCAUACCGCGUGGGUGAAGAAGGCCUUCGGGUUGUAAAGCCCUUUUGUUGGGAAAGAAAUCCAGCUGGCUAAUACCCGGUUGGGAUGACGGUACCCAAAGAAUAAGCACCGGCUAACUUCGUGCCAGCAGCCGCAGUAA
rnacentral:rRNA from 1 species